UAUGCUAAAAAAUAUUAUGGGAAACUUUACUUUUCAUACUAACAUUACUAUAAGAAGUCAAGGACAAAGUAACCAGAAAACUGCUGAAAGUGAUACCUUAAGUAUAACUUCAUUCCCAGCCCAGCAAUAAA